AAGAAAGAAAGAAACUUCCCCCCAAUGUUCAAGACAUGGUUAGCUUGGUUUAUGUAAGAAUGGAGAAUAUACAAUAUUGCCACAAUGUUCCAUAAUAAAGGAGUAACAUUAUCAAAACAACAUUUGUAAAAUGUGGAUAUUAUUCCAGAUUGUGAUGAAGUUUGGGCCAGAUCAUCAUUACAUCUGGCACUUCUGUUUUGGUUCUGGGUCUGGCUGGCAUCAUGUUUUAACACCAUUGUGUGAAACAGCAUUGGGCUGAACUCAAAAGAAACAACAUAUAAUAAGAUACAAAAUAUAAUAAGAAACAAAAGAUGAAAUGCAUUAUUUUAGCUGAACACUGGCUUGACUGCAAAAGUGAGAUUAAUUCUGGGGGAAGGGAAAGUCUCGUAUUUGGCUGAACUGUUGCGCGAACGUGUUUACCAUAGGGCAGGGAUGGGCAACUUUGAUAUUGACGAGGGCCAACAUUUUUUCUCCUUGAUACCUGGGGACCAGAUUACUAAUCCACACUCGCACCUUUUACACUGUCUUACUCAAUUUACUUUUUACUAAGGGAAAUUUAUGUAUAAUUAAUGUCAUUUGUUUUAAAAAGAUUGUAUUAACUGUAGCCUAAAUGGGGAAACUUUGUUUUCAGUUGGCAAGCAAUAUUAAAGGGAUAGUUCACCCAAAAAAAAAUUAAAUUCUGUCAUCAUUUACCUACCCUCAAGUUUCUGUUGAACAAAGAAGAUAUUUUGAGGAAUGUUUGUAACCAGGUUGCUUUGGGUCUAAUACUAUGGAAGUCAAUGGUGCCCCAGAACUGUUCAGUUUCCCACAUUCUUCAGUUUUAUUAACAAUAUUAACAUCUCAAUGGCAUUUUCUGUAAAUUUGCAACAAACAAAUGUAGCUACAGUUUAUAUUUGAUUACAAGGUUAGAGAACAUUUUCAACUCAGCCUCGUUAAAAAGUGCUUAUUUUAAAAUAUGACAAUCUACUGGGUGUUUACAGGAGACGAGAGGCGCUGAUUGGGCCAUGGUAAAUCGAUGCGUAAAUCCACCAAUCACAGCGUGCUUUUCUCGUGACGUAGGAACAUUUGAAAUUGACGAACAGCGCGAAUGGUAGUUGAAGAAAUUGGCGCAAAAUGUCCCUGGUCUGAUUGUCUUUUUGACGGAAAAAGCGAGUACGGACUCGUUCACAAACAGAGUCGCGGCAGAUACAGAGUUGUGAUGGAGGAUGUUUUACCCGCUGGGACAGUUUGUGGCCCAAACAACAGAACUGUCUCCUGGUCAACGGAACUCUGCCCUCAACAAUAAAUACUGGAAUAAUCCAAACGGCCUAAUUAAAUAUGGACACUGAUGAUGCAACAAAAAGUCUUCAUUUACAACAAAGGUACUUUGGGGCUGACAGACAGCCAUUGUGAAGGACACAAUCUGGCAAAAAUUUACCUGCAGAAGUGAAUGGGAGGAUAUGGGCUCUGAGGAAAAACUCUACACACAGACGCUCUACACACAUAGACGGCUCAAUGCUGCUAACUGGCAGAGCAGCUGGAAAACUAAAAGACAAGAAAACUAGAACGUUAAUACGGAUGACUGUAUUAUUUUUCUGCAAGAACCAGGUCAUGCAAAGACAGUGAUGAGCACUCAGAGCAAACACAGCAGUCAGACGCAGGAUUACACACUGGACUUUAGAGUUCUUCAACAUGUGAUGUUGGACAUUUACUGUUUCUAGAGCCAAUAAUUUAUGUGGAUGCCAUUUAUAGACCUGUUAGAUUUUGUUUUAUUUUUGAGAUUAAUAUAAUUGUAUGUUUUAACAA